rnacentral:lncRNA from 1 species
GUAACAUACUGUUGAUACUGUAGAGGAGGAGGUAACAUACUGUUGAUACUGUAGAGGAGGAGGUAACAUACUGUUGAUACUGUUGAGGAGGAGGUAACAUACUGUUGAUACUGUAGAGGAGGAGGUAACAUACUGUUGAUACUGUAGAUGAGGAGGUAACAUACUGUUGAUACUGUAGAGGAGGAGGUAACAUACUGUAGAUACUGUAGAGGACGAGGAGGUAACGUACUGUUGAUACUGUAGAGGAGGAGGUAACAUACUGUUGAUACUGUAGAGGAGGAGGUAACAUACUGUUGAUACUGUAGAGGAGGAGGUAACAUACUGUUGAUACUGUAGAGGAGGAGUAGGUAAUAUACUGUUGAUACUUUAGAGGAGGAGGAGGUAACAUACUGUUGAUACUGUAGAGGAGGAGGUAACAUACUGUUGAUACUGUAGAGGAGGAGGUAACAUACUGUUGAUACUGUAGAGGAGGAGGUAACAUACUGUAGAUACUGUAGAGGAGGAGGUAACAUACUGUAGAUACUGUAGAGGAGGAGGUGACAUACUGUAGAUACUGUAGAGGAGGAAAGUAACAUACUGUUG